GACGAACGCUGGCGGCGUGCUUAACACAUGCAAGUCGAACGGUGAAGCGCCUUCCUUUUUGGUGGGUGUGGAUGAGUGGCGAACGGGUGAGUAACACGUGAGUAACCUGCCCCCUUCUUCUGGAUAACCGCAUGAAAGUGUGGCUAAUACGGGAUAUUCUGGGUCUGUCGCAUGAUGGGUCUGGGAAAGAUAUUGUUUCGGUGGGGGAUGGGCUCGCGGCCUAUCAGCUUGUUGGUGGGGUGAUGGCCUACCAAGGCGGUGACGGGUAGCCGGCCUGAGAGGGUGGAAGGUCAAGCUGGGACGGGGACACGGCCCGGACUCCUGCGGGAGGCAGCAGUGGGGACUAGUGCACAGUGGGCGUAAGCCUGAUGCAGCGACGCCGCGUGAGGGAUGGAGCCCUUCGGGUUGUGAACCUCUUUCGCCAGUGAAGCAGGCCUGCCUCGUUUGUGGGUGGGUUGACGGUAGCUGGACAAGAAGCGCCGGCUAACUACGUG
rnacentral:rRNA from 1 species